GAGGGUUUACGAUGGGUGUGACAGGUCAACAGAGGAUGCUUACUCCUCCUAGCCUAGGUUUACGAUGGGUGUGACAGGUCAACAGAGGAUGCUUACUCCUCCUAGCCUAGGUUUAUGAUGGGUGUGACAGGUCAACAGAGGAUGCUUACUCCUCCUAGCCUAGGUUUAUGAUGGGUGUGACAGGUCAACAGAGGAUGCAUACUCCUCCUAGCCUAGGUCAACAGAGGAUGCUUACUCCUCCUAGGUUUAUGAUGGGUGUGACAGGUCAACAGAGGAUGCAUACUCCUCCUAGCCUAGGUUUAUGAUGGGUGUGACAGGUCAACAGAGGAUGCUUACUCCUCCUAGGCACCUGAUCCUACCUUUGGUGUUUCCAGGUUCCGUACUUGACCUACUCUCAGUUUUGUUUUCUUUAGAGGAUUUAUGAGAUUGAUCAUUGAUCAAUGUUCAUUAUCUGAACCUUUAUUUAUUCUAAAAGAUUACCACAGCAAUCUUUGAAUUUCUACAUAUGCCAACUGUAGCCAAGGGCAUAAAAAAUAUUCACUCAUUAUGUACAUUAAAUAAUAUAUGUACAAAGAGUGUAAAUCUUUAGAGUAUACCAGUGGACCCAAUCUGGUUCUAGGUUCAUAGAAUGAAAUAAUCUAAACUGCAUGAGGGCACUUCCAUAAAAAAUAAAUAUACUUAUUAAAGUUCCAGGGAAACACACACGAGUAUUAUGAAUUCAGC